AUCACUACAUCAGUGGAUUUAUUGUUAAUGGAUAACAAGGGAAGAAACCACAUCACUAAACAGAAGCAGUUUGCUUUUCAUGACAAGCAAAUUUGACUAAAACCGAUAUAGGGGUCAAUACACAACCUUGAAAUUGAAAGUUAUUCAUAAAGAUAUUGUAGUAAACCUGUUGACAUGCGAUAAAUCAACACUUGACUCACACACUACUUUAUACUAAAUAACUCAGAAAGCCUCGGAGUCUUGUCAGUCUUUUCUUCAGGAGGAAAUGACAUCAUGUGGAGCAGGUCAUGUGAUCUGGAAUUAACGCACUUCCUGGAGAGGUGUUUUUGUUAUGGGGAAAUUAGUUGAAAGUGACUUCUUGGGCACAGACACAACUAGUUAUUUUCCAUAUGAAAUUUGAUAUGAUGCCAAAAAAAUGAAUAUCUCUCCUGAUUCUGUCAACUUAAUAAAAAAAAAAAUAAAAAUUUGAAUACGCUCUUUUUGUUGCACUUUAGCUCAUUAGAAGGUGGUUGUUAUUAAAUUGGGAUGGUUAUUUAGUUGAUAUUUUAGUGAUACCCUUUAAUUUUUUAUUAAUAGGUGAUUGCUACCAUAAUAAAUACUUAUAGAAUUUCUAAAUACACAAUCAUACUGAACAUAAAAAUCUGUAUUUCCUUUUAAUAAAAAUGCAUGCAAGAUAUAUCCCAUGGACUUCAAAAGUUCCUCACUUAUAUAUUAACCCAUAUGCGCUUCCUUAAAUGUGGCUUACUAUCUUACGUCUUUUGCUGUACCCUUCCUUUGUGCUGCUCGCUAUAAGACGAAUUGGCUCAGAGCGUACAAAUGGACUUGAAUUGAGUACUCUAUUAAAAGUUAAACACAGA